rnacentral:rRNA from 1 species
GAACGCUGGCGGCGUGCCUAAUACAUGCAAGUCGAGCGAACAGAUAAGGAGCUUGCUCCUUUGACGUUAGCGGCGGACGGGUGAGUAACACGUGGAUAACCUACCUAUAAGACUGGGAUAACUUCGGGAAACCGGAGCUAAUACCGGAUAAGAUUUUGAACCGCAUGGUUCAAUAGUGAAAGACGGCCUUGCUGUCACUUAUAGAUGGAUCCGCGCCGUAUUAGCUAGUUGGUAAGGUAACGGCUUACCAAGGCAACGAUACGUAGCCGACCUGAGAGGGUGAUCGGCCACACUGGAACUGAGACACGGUCCAGACUCCUACGGGAGGCAGCAGUAGGGAAUCUUCCGCAAUGGGCGAAAGCCUGACGGAGCAACGCCGCGUGAGUGAUGAAGGUCUUCGGAUCGUAAAACUCUGUUAUCAGGGAAGAACAAACGUGUAAGUAACUGUGCACGUCUUGACGGUACCUGAUCAGAAAGCCACGGCUAACUACGUGCCAGCAGCCGCGGUAAUACGUAGGUGGCAAGCGUUAUCCGGAAUUAUUGGGCGUAAAGCGCGCGUAGGCGGUUUUUUAAGUCUGAUGUGAAAGCCCACGGCUCAACCGUGGAGGGUCAUUGGAAACUGGAAAACUUGAGUGCAGAAGAGGAAAGUGGAAUUCCAUGUGUAGCGGUGAAAUGCGCAGAGAUAUGGAGGAACACCAGUGGCGAAGGCGACUUCUGGUCUGUAAC